rnacentral:rRNA from 2 species
AUGCGAAAGCAGUUGAAGACAAGUUCGAAAAGAGUUUGGAAACG